AGGAGUUCUGUAAGCCGUAUAGUGGAUGACUAGGCUUGGAAGCUGUUGAAGGGCGUGGCAAGCUGCGAUAAGCCACGGCGAGCCGCAUGCAGGCGUUGAACCGUGGAUCCCUGAACUGUUCCGCAAGGAACGGGAACGCCGGGAAUUGAAAUAUCUUAGUACCGGCAGGAAAAGAAAGCAAAAGCGAUUCUGUUAUUAGGGUCGACCGAAGGCAGAAGAGGACAAACCGAAUCUUCAUUCGCGAGUUUGGAGAGAUGUGGGGUUUGGACCAGGUUACAGACUUUUAAUGCGAGCAGAAGUGAACUGGAAUGUUCCGCCACAGAGCGUGAAAGCCGCGUAAGUGAAGCAUUGAAAGCUGAGUGCCAGGUAUCCGGAGUAUGGCGCGUUGGAUUUCGCGUCAGAAUAUGCGAGUCAUUAACUCGUAAUCCUAAAUACUAUCCAAGUCCGAUAGCUCACUAGUACCGUGAGGGAAAGUUGAAAAGAACCCUUAACAGGGGGUGAAAAGCGCCUGAAACUAUACGGUCAUGUUCUGGCAAGGCACGGAAGAGUUAAAGCUUCCCGAAGUGAAAACCGGAAACGGUUGGAGCGAGGGUAAGUGAUUCAGUGUCUUGUCGUUCGUCCAGAAACACGAGCGAGGGAGUUGACGGUUGUGGCGAGGUUAAUCCCUUACGGGGAGAAGCCGCAGCGAAAGCGAAUGCCCGCAGUGCCUUAAGUGGUAUGAGGGGCAGAGUGUGAACAGCGCUUGAGUCACAACAGUCAGACCUGAAACAAGGUGAUCUAUUCCUUUGCAGGUUGAAAUCCCCCUUCCGGGGGAUGGAGGACCGCAACCGGUGUUAGUCCAACUACUCGGGUGACAUGGGAAUAGGAGUAAAAUGCCAAUCGAACCUUGUGAUAGCAGGUUCCUUCCGAAGAAGCUCUUAGGCUUGCCCUUGCGGAGGCUUGAUUGUGGGGUAGAGAUACUGAUUAAAAAGUACUGUUUGGAAACUUACAGCUUUUUUAUCAAACUCCCAAUCUGCAAUCGCCUUAGAUGCAAGGAGUAGGGGUGUGUGGGGUAAGCCCCACAUCCUGAAGGGGAACAACCCAGCCUUGGGUUAAGGCCCAUAAGUGCGGAUUAAGUGUAAAGCUGAAAAGUGUCUUCUACCUAAAACAAUGUGGAGGUCGGCUUAGAAGCAGCCACCCUUUAAAGAAAGCGUAACAGCUCACACAUCUAGGUAUAAGGCCUUGAAAAUAAUCCGGACUAAAAUCCGCCGCCGAUACCCAGGAAUGCAUCCAGUGGGUGCAAUUUAGUAGGAAGGUGCUCUGGUGGAGCAGAAGCAAGGCAGUGAUGUCUUGUGGAUCUGCCAGAGAUAUGGAUCCUCGUGCUAGUAAUAAUGUAGAGAGGUGAGAAUCCUCUCCGUCGAAAGGGCAAGGGUUCCUUAGCGCUAAUCAUUAGCUAAGGGUUAGUCGGUCCUAAGGUUAAACGUAAACCGUUAAUAACCAAAAGGGAAACGCGUUCAUAUUCGCGUACCUUGCAGAUACGUUUUCGGCAACGAUAGUCAGAUUCCAGACGCUUUGGGCUAGGGUUUAUGCCGCUGUCGCGGUAUUUAACCUGCAUAAGUCCUUGGAGAGCCAUAAUGGCGAGAAAAGGAGUAAAGCAGGGAACAGGCGCAAGCCAAACCUGAGGCCUGGAGCCCGUGAAAAUGGAAUCUGAAAGGAUUCUGCAAGACCGUACCAAGAACCGAGAAAGGUGCCCCUGGCUGAGAAGGCCAAGACGUCUCAGGGAUUAACUCUAUCUAGGGAAUUCGGCAACAAUAGCCCUGUAUCUUAGGUAUAAGGGGUGCCUGCAAUGGAGAUUGCAGGCUGCAAUGACAAAGGGGGUCCGACUGUUUACCAAAAACACAGGUGACUGCUAGCCAGCAAUGGUGUGCAUAGUCGCUGACUCCUGCUCACUGCCAGUACGUGAAACUCCCGUCCAAGGGAACUAAGCGCUGGUGAAGAGCGGGCCUAACUCUGAGGCUCUCACGGUAGCGUAAUACCUUGUCGGUUGAAUGCCGACUUGCACCAACGGAGUAACGAGAUCCCUACUGUCCCGGAUAGAGGCCUGAUGAACUUGCUGCGCGGUGAAUAUGCCGCGGAACUCCAACGGGACGAGAAGACCCCACGGAGGUUUACCACAAUCUGAUGUUGUGGUAUAGUUUUCAAUGUGGAGCGUAGAUGGGAGCGCAGAAGCGGUUUCGCCAGGAAUCGUGGAGCAACAAUGGAACACCAUCCUUUGAAAACCAUACCGCUUACCGGCAACGGAACAGCAUUUGACUUGGUGGUUAGGCUGGGGCGGCACGCCCCUGAAAAAGUAUCAGGGGCGCCCAAAGGUUUGCUCAGGAGAGUCAGAAAUUCUCCGUAGAAUGUAAGGGUAAAAGCAAGCUUGACCAUGAACUGCAUAGCAAGGUUCGUGGAUUCGAAAGAAGGGCCUAGCGAACAUCAGUAGCGCUUUAGUGGCGCUCUGGUCUGACAGUGAACUUACCCUGGGGGUAAUCGAGUGGUCGCGGGUGAGAGUUCACAUCGACCCCGCGGUUUGCGACCUCGCCGUCGGCUCUUGGUAUCCUGGCUGUGCAUAAGCAGCCAAGGGUGCAGGUGUUAACUGAUUAAAACCGAACGUUAGUUGGGUUAAGAACGGUGCGAGCCAGUUUGGUUACUAUCUGUUGGAGUUGUCGGGUGUCUGAGGGGAAGGAGCGCUGAGUACGAGAGGAACGGCGCCUCGUGGCCUCUGGUUAACCAGUUGUCUGACAAGGCAUCGCUGGGUAGCUACGCCAUAGCUUAUAAGAGCUGAAAGCAUCUAAGCUCGAAGAAGCCCCUGAAAAGAGACACCCAUUCCCGAAACUUCAAGGGUAAAACUUUGAAGGCUAGGGACGAGGGCUCCGGCAAAAGACCGGGUUGAUAGGUUGGAAGUGUAAGAUUCAAGCUUCGGCGAGAAUUUAAGCCCACCAAUACUAAAAGCCCGAGAGAACUCCUAAA
rnacentral:rRNA from 1 species